UGAUCAGUCAGGUCCUUUCUGGUUCCGG
rnacentral:piRNA from 1 species